rnacentral:rRNA from 1 species
UACAGAGGGGGCGAGCGUUGUUCGGAAUUACUGGGCGUAAAGGGCGCGUAGGCGGCCUGUUAAGUCGAACGUGAAAUCCCCGGGCUCAACCCGGGAACUGCGUCCGAGACUGGCAGGCUCGAAUCCGGGAGAGGGAUGUGGAAUUCCAGGUGUAGCGGUGAAAUGCGUAGAUAUCUGGAGGAAUACCGGUGGCGAAGGCGGCAUCCUGGACCGGCAUUGACGCUGAGGCGCGAAAGCCAGGGGAGCAAACGGG